GAGCAUCUUUUGGCUGGCUUAUUUAGGAAAAAUAUUUGGCCAGAAUUCACUUACAGUUUCAACUACUUUCAUUUUCCUAUAAUACAAGUUAUAGGAGAGAAAAGGUGAAAAGAAGCCUAUUUAAAUUGUUAAUAUUGGUAUUUAUGAGUGAUUAUUUUUACUCUUUUCUAUUUCUCUUUAUAUUCUAUAAUGGGUACAUUUACAUAUGUAAUAGAACUACUAAUAAACUGUAUAUAAAAUUUCUCCCCUGGCUGAGAACUCAUCUUCUGCUAAGUUAGGUUCAAGAAACAAGAAAUCCUGUUGUUUGUAAAUAUCCCUUUAAACAGAAGUUAAUGCUUGUGAGUAUAAGUUCUUCUGUAUUGUUAUAUUGGCAAUUUAAGCCUUAAUAGAAAAGGGUGGUAGUUUGAUAGUGGUGGUAACUUAAAGCCAGGAUGGAGUGUUCCAGUUUCCCCAAGAGUCUGUGUGAACAAUGUGACUGGCAGCAUGUGGGCUUGUUAGGGACUCUGGUACCAAGGCAAUCCAUGCUGAGACCUGUUAUAUUUGCUCCAGUCUAGUGUGGUCCUUAGCUUAGAAUAUGUAGCUUAAUCUCGGUGAGCGUGGAUCCUAAAAAUUCCAUCAAAAAGGCUCUAUUAGGAGAAGUUACACAUAGGGAAACUUGCAUAAUGUAAUGUCAUUAUUUCCCUUCAUGAAUGGUCCCACUGAAUGAACAGGAAGGGUGGGGCCCUCCGUGAAACUUAAAGCCAGUCCCUCCAGUGAGGCUGGUAUCAGCAGAGGGCCAGAAAUGUAAGAAGUGCUUGAAGUGGGCAUGAAAAAGUUCUUGAAAACUAAAAAAUGGUACCAUUGUAUCUUUUGUUGACUUGAAAUUCUUGGCAUGUUAAUUAGUCUAUAAAAAGGGCCUUGACAAUGUCAUAAGGCAAGUUCUAAAAGCCUCAGGCUUUUAAACUUGAAGUAGCACAGUGAAGGACGGACCUCAUGCAGAAUGUUCACAAUGAAUCGCAAAAAGUGACAAAAGUUGAUUAAUUACUUAUAUGAAAACAAAUUUGCAGUGAUUAUAUUAACAUUCUGAAGCCAGCCAUUUCCUUCCAUUUGCUUCUUGUGGUUGGGACAUAUCUUCCUCUUUGUUCAUUUCCUAAAGGAACCAUCUUUCAUUUUCCCUCUUUUUUUGAUAACCUGUUUCUUCCAAGGACUAUAAAUAUCUGAGAUUCACUGAUCUAAUGAAGACUUCCUCGUUGACAGAAAUUCUUACAGAAUUCAGUGGCAAAAAUGAGCUCUAUCUUUGAAUCAAAAUCUGAAAUUAUUUUUUAAAAGAAAGAUAAAAAUAGAAAAUAGCAAGUUCUUUGCCUUGGGUAGGAUGUUUGUGACAAUUCAGAAACUGCCCUUGCAAAAAUUAUAACAGUAAGAAAAUUAUGACAGUGGAGGAGAUAUGAUCUAGACAAUCCCCUCUUGCCUUUAUCCUUCGAGCUGCCUUAACUGUUAAUGGGCAUAGGCUUGGCUAGCUGUGGGAGAUAUUUAUAGUUUAUAUGAUUAUAGCCAUUCCCCCAAACACAACCAUCUUUGUAAAGCUUAAUGAGAGACCACCAGGUUAGGAAGAUAGAGAAGCCUGGAUUCUGCUAACAUACGAGCAUUGCCAGCCAUUUUUUCUGGAGAUCACAAGAUAUGCAACUUUCUCAAUUACUUCUGCAGAUAACAUCAUUAUUGUAGAAUCUAAGAUUGCCCUUUGGAGAUAACUUUUCAGGUUUUUUGCUUGUCCGACACCAAUGAUGGCUCUACCUGGACCUGCCAACCACUCCUGUGUCUCCACCCAGAAGCACUUCAGCCAGCAGGAGGAUAAUUUCCUAUAUCCCUAUGACUGCUCCCCCAACUAAUCAGCGGGUUACACUUAUUUCCUGCAUAUAAACCCCCAAUUUUAAUCAGUCAUGGAGAUGGAUUUAAGACUGAUCUCCCAUCUCUUCAGCUGCAGCACCUGAUUAAAGCCUUCUUCCCUGAAAAUACUUGUUGGCUCAGUGAUUGGCUUUCUGUCUGAUGAAGAGCAGGACCUAGACAGGACCACUCAUGUUUUGAUCUCAGCACCCGUAUAUAAGAACAGAGUCAGUUUUGCUUGGCUUUGGAGGAGAAUUUGAAUGAAAAUGCAGAAGGACAUGUCUCUUCCCAAUUAUGCACUCUGGACUCUAUGAACAGAUGACAGACCACACAGUCAUUUAAGUCUCUAAGAGUUCAGCAGAGAGAGAAAUCACUAUGAACUGGCAUGUGGAAGAAUGGGGAAGAGUGACCUGGACCUUCAAAGCUGGCAUUCUGAAAUACAGAAGGAGAGCCCUGGAGACUGUGACUAAGUCUGCUUGCCUAGGUAACAAGGGCUUGAUAAACUUAACUACAACCCCAUCAGAGAACUGAAAGGGGCCCCCAGGAGAAAGGCACAACCAAAUGGAAGUAACUUCAGAGCAGCAGUGCCUGUGAGAUUUGGAUUCCAGGGUCACAUUGCGGGAGUGUUCAGGGUGCCUGUGCCGAUAUAUGAGAAUCCAGGUAGCAUCCUUUCCCACCCCCUGUUCCUUCACUCUCCUCUGGCAUUGUAAUGACUGGGGUCAGGUCUAAGCAGAUAUCUUUUAUCUCAAACUUCUGCAUAUGAAAGCGGCAGCAUUAGUUGAGUUCGCAUGCAGAGGACAGGUCAUGUGUGCAACAGGAAGGAAAUCUUAAUAUCAAAACACAUGUAAUUCUUUUUGGUAGCUGUGAUUUUUGUUUGUUUGAUUUUUGGGUUUUGUUUUAAUGAGAUAUGGUCCUGAUCGGUUGGGGGCUUGGGUGCAGCAGUACAAACAUAGUUCACUGCAGCCUGAAACUCCAAGCUUUAAGUGAUCCAUAUUCCUUGACCUCCCAAGUAGCAGGACU